UACGUAGGGGGCAAGCGUUAUCCGGAUUUACUGGGUGUAAAGGGAGCGUAGACGGCCAUGCAAGUCUGAAGUGAAAGCUCGGGGCUCAACCCCGGAACUGCUUUGGAAACCGUAAGGCUGGAGUGCAGGAGAGGUAAGCGGAAUUCCUAGUGUAGCGGUGAAAUGCGUAGAUAUUAGGAGGAACGCCGGAGGCGAAGGCGGCUUACUGGACUGUAACUGACGUUGAGGCUCGAAAGCGUGGGGAGAAAAC
rnacentral:rRNA from 1 species